UCGGCGGUUAUGACCUGACAAAUAAUGCAAGUCGAGCGGACUUGAUGGGAGCUUGCUCCCUGAUAGUUAGCGGCGGACGGGUGAGUAACACGUGGGCAACCUACCUUUAAGACUGGGAUAACUUCGGGAAACCGGAGCUAAUACCAGAUAACAUGUAAGACCACAUGGUCUUACAUUGAAGGAUGGCUUCGGCUAUCACUUAUAGAUGGGCCCGCGGCGCAUUAGCUAGUUGGUGAGGUAAUGGCUCACCAAGGCGACGAUGCGUAGCCGACCUGAGAGGGUGAUCGGCCACACUGGGACUGAGACACGGCCCAGACUCCUACGGGAGGCAGCAGUAGGGAAUCUUCCGCAAUGGACGAAAGUCUGACGGAGCAACGCCGCGUGAACGAUGAAGGCUUUCGGGUCGUAAAGUUCUGUUGUUAGGGAAGAACAAGUACCAGAGUAACUGCUGGUACCUUGACGGUACCUAACCAGAAAGCCACGGCUAACUACGUGCCAGCAGCCGCGGUAAUACGUAGGUGGCAAGCGUUAUCCGGAAUUAUUGGGCGUAAAGCGCUCGCAGGCGGUCUUUUAAGUCUGAUGUGAAAGCCCACGGCUCAACCGUGGAGGGUCAUUGGAAACUGGGAGACUUGAGUGCAGAAGAGGAGAGUGGAAUUCCACGUGUAGCGGUGAAAUGCGUAGAGAUGUGGAGGAACACCAGUGGCGAAGGCGACUCUCUGGUCUGUAACUGACGCUGAGGAGCGAAAGCGUGGGGAGCGAACAGGAUUAGAUACCCUGGUAGUCCACGCCGUAAACGAUGAGUGCUAAGUGUUAGAGGGUUUCCGCCCUUUAGUGCUGCAGCUUAACGCAUUAAGCACUUCCGG
rnacentral:rRNA from 1 species